GACGAACGCUGGCGGCGUGCUUAACACAUGCAAGUCGAACGGAAAGGCCCUGCUUUUGUGGGGUGCUCGAGUGGCGAACGGGUGAGUAACACGUGAGUAACCUGCCGUUGACUUUGGGAUAACUUCAGGAAACUGGGGCUAAUACCGGAUAGGUGCUCCUGCUGCAUGGUGGGGGUUGGAAAGUUUCGGCGGUUGGGGAUGGACUCGCGGCUUAUCAGCUUGUGGGUGGGGUAGUGGCUUACCAAGGCUUUGACGGGUAGCCGGCCUGAGAGGGUGAGCGGCCACAUUGGGACUGAGACACGGCCCAGACUCCUACGGGAGGGAGCAGUGGGGAAUAUUGCACAAUGGGCGGAAGCCUGAUGCAGAAACGCCGAGGGCGGGAUGACGGCCUUCGGGUUGUAAACCGCUUUCGCCUGUGACGAAGAGUGAGUGACGGUAAUGGGUAAAGAAGCACCGGCUAACUACGUG
rnacentral:rRNA from 1 species